CAAAAGUCCCAUUUAAAACACGCAUAAAUAAGAGAAAUGGCACAUCAUGUUAUAACACAUCUCUGCAAACGGUUUCCUGCUGGAAUUAAAAGAAGAUGUGAGAAAGGCAUCUGCUCACUGCACAGGUUUUCUCUUAAUUCAGGCAAAAAACCCUGUGGACAAAGCAUCCUCUCAUGAGAACCAAGACCAGCCCACCACUCCAGGCAGUGAGGACUGCCUUGAGCCAGCAAGACUCCACCCAUGACAGUGAUUUUGACAAUGAUCACCUUGAUCUUCACUGACCACCUGCACAUACUCACCAAGCUUUGUCCCACAUUUUCCUUUUGUAAACUUGAUUUUGCCAGCAGUGAGUGGCCGAACCUGGUCUGUUUGGGAACCCCAAAUCCAAGUGCUGUUGUACUUUUGUGCCUCAGCUACAAGAGGAAACACUGGGAAUGAACAGUGGAGAAAUAAAAUAUAAGAUGAAUUGGGAAGAAGGUAUGAAGCAUCUUCAGGGCCAUAAUACUGUGACAUGCAUCAUUUCUCCAGGUCUGACUUUGGCUGCAACUGGGAUGGACAGAUCCUGGGCACACUGACAGGGUGCCACCUCAACGGCAGCGACCUUUCAUAUUUCUGGGCUUUCCUCCUUUAGAGCAUCCUCUAAAGCCAGGAGUGCCAUGAUGCUUCACAGAAUUUCCAAGAAAUGCAGGGAAGAUAUAUGUUCUGGGCUCAUUUCAACUGCUGGGGAUUGGGAAUCACGUGAAAAAUGCCUCGGUCUCCUGUCCUUUAGAAGGACAAGUCAUGAACAUUCUGGGAUGUCUUCAGAAGGUCUCCGACAGAAUUGAGUCUUAUAUCUACAUAUGUAGCUACAAAAUCACUCAACUAUUGCUUCCUAAGUUCCAAAUAGUCUUUCCAUCUCCAUCCAGUGCUCCUUUCCUCCCAGGUUACAGAUGGGACAACAACGACAAUGGCUCUAUCUGUUGGGCCUCCGUGAUUUUAUAGGCACAGUUUUAAGCACUUUACAUGAAUCAGUUCAUUUCUUCUUCACAUCAGUCCUGGAAAAUAGGUAUAAUGAUUAAUUCCAUUUUGAAGACAAAGAGCAUCAAAGUAAAGGGAGAUGGAUUGUCUAGACUAGAGUCACAGUUUUCCAGUGGUGGGGUCUGGAUCUGAACUCAGUCCAGUCUGACUCAUCACAGAAGCCACAAUCUUCUCUAGGUGAUCCCAUUUCCAAGGAACCUAAAGUUGGAAUUAAUUCUUCCAUGGAGGAGUUCAUGAGAGAAAAAUGGGCUCAUGUACAUGGAGGUGUAUAUUCCAGCUCAGCAUUUAACUCCAAAUAUGAGAAGAACAGAGGAAGAAAGUUGACCCCCCACUCAGGCAAAGAUGUUCCCCAUGAAAACUGAUGCUGACCUCUAUUUUGAGGUCCAGGGCAGGCUGACUGGGAUGCACAGGCUGCGGUGCAGCCUGCCAUGCUCAGAUGGAGUGGUGGUGGGGUAGCCUGACAGCUCCUUGGGCGAGAGUUCUUGGACUCCGAGGAGCGAAGGGUGCUUCGCCUCCCCCUGAGAGCCUGCAGGGCUCUGGAGCCAGCCUACUCACAGACACGUGAGACUUCCCUCUGGCAUGUGUUCUGGUGCCCAGCACUAGUGGAAGGUGUGCGAGGAUCUAAAAGCACUCUGGUGAUUUUUUGGAACCCCUGGAAUGGAAGGUUUGCUUGGUUAAAAUCCCGAUAAAAGAUAAAGACAUUUGUGUGGCUCCCAGGCCAGUGCUAAUACUUGGACUUGCCGGUGGCGGAUUACUUCAAGUAGUGGAUUAAUCUGAAAAAGGCUUACAGCUUUGCCAUGGGCUGUUGGCCCAAGAAUGGACUUCUGGACAUGAACAAGAGCCUCAGCCUUCAACACAUAGGCCGGCCCCACAGCGGCAUUGAUGACUGCAAGUACAUUGCCAACAUCAUGAAAACACUUGGGUAUCAAGGCUUCAUCUUCAAGCAGACAUCAAAGCCAUUCUGAUUGGUUGAGGAUGGGUUGGGGCAGGACAGGGUAGCUGCUUGGCCCAGCCCAGAACCUUCCUUUCCCUCACCAGAGGGGAAAAGGGAGAGUGGCACAGCUCUAUAUCCAGAGUGUCCCCCAGCCUGCCCCCUGCCAGGGGCCCAAGCAGGUCAUUCCAGAGAGAGAUAGGGGUGUUUACAAUCCACUGUGAUAAAACCUACAGUCACUUUCAGAAGCUCUUGCAGCAGAGGGGAUACACUGACAUCUUCCAUCUCUUACUGCUGCUGGGUUCUAACUCCAGCCUCUGCCUGAUCCUCCGUCCUCCUCGCACCUGGGUCUCCUAGAGAGUAAAUGAAGUGAAAUGACCUAUAAUGUACUCACCCAGGGCUCUUAUUUGGAGUGAGCAUGUGUAUUUCAAGGCCAUAGGGAUCCCUUCUCCCGGGCUUCUCCACUUGCUAAGUAACUCACAGAGCAGUACAUCCAUGGGCUUCUAAUGCACUGUAUGACGCAUAUCCCUGGCAACAUGUUUGUGGGAUGUGGGGCAUGGGAUGUGGUAGUGGCUCAACUGGAAGUGUGUUGGGAGAAUAAUCCAUUAAAGAGGGGGAAAAAUCAAUAUCACAAUUAGGGACCAUUUCAUCCUAUAAUGACGCCAGCUGCUAAGGAGGGCCACUGCUACCAGGUGCUGCCUUUAAUGGCGUGUGCUGUCUGCUGCUCUCAUCAGCCCCUCUGCCUUCCCAGGAUGUGAUGUCCUCCUCGGACACCAAGGAUGUUGAAAAUAAGCAGAUGCAAGGCCUAAAUAUCCUGUAUUCAUCAACAGUACAAGAGAACAAUUUAUUAUGAGGCUAAAAACAUCCUUCCCCAAUCAGCUAAACUUCAUGGACAAUGCAGUUUCACUUCCUGGAAUAUUUUCUCUUUGGUUUUCUUCUUUUCCUCUUCUCCUUUCCCAUGGAAAGCAUUUAAAGCACCAGGACAGCUGAUUUUACCAUGUCAAAGAAACACAACAUUCCCUGGGAAAUUGUGCGUGAGGAAUGACUUACAUGUAGAAGCCAACCUUUUCGUGUCUGCAGAAGAGUUCAAAUUAUUACCUUGGUCCUUGAUAAUCAUCGUCUUUCAUGAUCAUUCAUUGAUUCAUUCUAGAAACAUGCAUUCAGUUCCUAUGUAUGUUAGUUACAUUGUGUUGGGUCACUGAAAAGUUCAUUCAAAACAUAGAUAAUUGGCAUUUCCCCAAGUAAAAGGCCAACCUCACGAUCAAUCAUGAGCACAUCUUCUUAAAGUCACUUAAAACUGAAGUUAUUUUAGUUGUAUUUGGAACUAAAAGCAAUUAAAACAAAAAAAAUUUAAGCUUUCAGCAAUAGAAAUGUUCCCUAUUAUUUUUAGUAUAAUUAAAAAAUAUAUAUUUCAAAACAA